rnacentral:lncRNA from 10 species
UAUCCUAAGAUCAAUAGAGGCUAUUUGGGAUGGGGAUUGGGAUCAUUUUACAGUGACAAUAGAACAAGAGCUGCUAUUUAGGAAGAUGACUGUGGCCACAUCAUACAAAAGAGAAUGCUGGAGGAGGGGCCAAGACUGAAGAUCAGAAGACCAGUGGAGGCUGUUGGAAUCAUCUUGGUGAAAGGAAAUCAUUUCUGAACUAGAAAAAUGUUAACAAAAAUGGAGGAAAAUUGCCAUAUUUAAGAGAGUUUUUGUUUUUUGUUUUAGUUAUGGGGAGUUGGGGAGGUAAAAUCAUUAAGAUUUUAUAAUUGGUUGGCAAGGCAAGCUUCCUAAUUUGCAGGGCCCAGUGCGAACAAAAAUGCAGGGCCUCCUGUUCGAAACCAUUUUCCUUUUUUGUAAUCUCUCUCUCAACCCAUCACAGAAUGUUUUAUCUGCUGUUUUAUGUUGUGCUCCCUUGAGCACAGUAAUAUUCUCAAAGCACUCCGGGUCCACUUCCAUCACUCAGCAGGUGGGUGUAUACACUCACCACCACAUCCACACCCGAAGUCGAGGGAGCCAUAGUCACUGGGCAAAUGCAGGAGACUUGGCAGCUGAGAAUCCAUCUUUGGGAGGCAGGACGGCGGGGAAAGGUGGGACCCUCCAUGUGCUGAGGCUCCAAGCCUCAGUAAGUGCUUUACUUUCCUAUUGGACUUCCCUCCUCACACACUCUUCUGCCAAACAUGGAUGUUCAGGUAUGGCUUCAGGUUGGUUCAGGACAUUCUUUGAGCCUGAGACUCCCAGAGUCUCAUCACCUCCUUUUUAACAUAGCAUGGUGUGAACCCUGUGGUAGCAGUGCCAAACCUGAGAUCUGGAAAUGAAACCUCCACGCAUAAUUCCAGAGCAGUAUCUGCUUGGGAGGCAAAUGAACUCGGCCACACCACAUACUGUGAAGGGGGUUGAGGCUUGAAAUGAGGGCCAAUCCCCGGUAAAGGCAGCUUCUCUAAGCCUUAUGGAAACCAGGGACAGGUGCUGUGGCCUUCUUUAUCAUUUAAAUUAGUUUUGUGGCUACUAAGGUGAACUUGGGUUAUUGCUUAAAGCAGAGAUAACUUGUUGGAAGGCCACUGAUGAGUAGAAUUUAUGCAUAUGAUGUUUAUGAAAAAACUGAACUCAUUGUCAAUAAUUUCAAAUAAGUCUAGUUGAUACAAAAGUAUACAUUAAGAAAUAACAAGCGACAGAAGAUCUGGAAGCAAUGGGCCUUCAACUGGCAUGGCAGCCAGUGGGGGGAGCUGAGGCCUCACCCCUUUCAUUAUGUAAGUGCUUCCACCCGUGCAGUUUCAAAUCGGCUCCCUUCACUUCUUUGGCUUACUAUGCCAGGUGAAUUUGUGAUCCCUGAAUUCAAAUCUGUCCUCAGAGAUCCAUCCUAGGAUCACAAA